rnacentral:rRNA from 1 species
GGAUUAGAUACCCUGGUAGUCCACGCCGUAAACGAUGUCAACUAGUUGUUGGGUUCCUUGUGGACUUAGUAACGCAGCUAACGCAUUAAGUUGACCGCCUGGGGAGUACGGCCGCAAGGUUAAAACUCAAAUGAAUUGACGGGGGCCCGCACAAGCGGUGGAGCAUGUGGUUUAAUUCGAUGCAACGCGAAGAACCUUACCUACUCUUGACAUCCAGAGAAUUCGCUAGAGAUAGCUUAGUGCCUUCGGGAACUCUGAGACAGGUGCUGCAUGGCUGUCGUCAGCUCGUGUUGUGAAAUGUUGGGUUAAGUCCCGUAACGAGCGCAACCCCUAUCCUUAUUUGCCAGCGAGUAAUGUCGGGAACUCUAAGGAGACUGCCGGUGACAAACCGGAGGAAGGUGGGGAUGACGUCAAGUCAUCAUGGCCCUUACGAGUAGGGCUACACACGUGCUACAAUGGUCGGUACACUGGUUGCUAACCCGCGAGGGGGCGCUAAUCCACUAAGCGAUCGUAGUCCGGAUCGCAGUCUGCACUCGACUGCGUGAAGUCGAUCGCUAGUAUCGCGAUCGAAUGCCCGUGAUACGUUCCGGCCUGUACCACGCCGUCAUCAUAUGAUCCGCGCUGCAGUCGACAUUG